rnacentral:rRNA from 1 species
GCGUGUGUGAAGAAGGCCUUCGGGUUGUAAAGCACUUUUAUCGGGAGCGAAACGCGCCAGACUAAUAUUCUGGUGAACUGACGGUACCCGAGGAAUAAGCACCGGCUAACUCCGUGCCAGCAGCCGCGGUAAUACGGAGGGUGCAAGCGUUAAUCGGAGUUACUGGGCGUAAAGCGUGCGUAGGCGGUAAGUUAAGUCUGCUGUGAAAUCCCUGGGCUCAACCUGGGAAUGGCGGUGGAUACUGGCUUGCUGGAGUACGGUAGAGGAAGAUGGAAUUCCCGGUGUAGCGGUGAAAUGCGUAGAGAUCGGGAGGAACAUCAGUGGCGAAGGCGACGUUCUGGUCCUGUCAUGACACUGAGGCACGAAAGCGUGGGGAACGAACAGGAUCAGAUACCCUGGUAGUCCACGCCCUAAACGUUGGGCGACUGGAGGUGGGAUUCAACAGCAAUCGCCGUCUGGAAGGUAGCAGCGUCAGUAGCUCAACUGACGUGUCCGAGGCC